UCCAUGCGUUGAAGAAAAAACAAGUACAGGAUGAAUAACGAAAGUAACAACUAAAUAAUAACAAAUAAGACCUGUAACACACAAAAAUCAGGUAAUAACACUAAUGUGGAUAUGUUUGUCUGUCCUUGUGUGUGUGUUAGAGAGAGAGAAGGGAGGGGAAGGAGGUAAACAAUGACCAUAAACAAGCGAACUCAGGAGCAGUCAGUGCUGCCUGUGACCAUAAAUCUGUCUCUCUACUCCAUUUCAGACACAUUUGCAUUCAUAACCUUCCUCCAGUAAAUCCCACAUCGCAGAAAUCACCUACCUCGAGGCUGUCAGGGACCCGCUCGUUUGCUUUGUUGAGAUUGUUUUUUUUUUUUUUCUCCUUUCCUCACAUAUUUUUAUUUUCUUUUAUUUCAUCUCUCUCUCUCUUUCCUAAUUCGUGCGUUGCGCGGAGUUGUUAGUCUCGUGUUCAGUCUCGGGUUUCAUCGGUGACGGCGGCAAAGGGGAGGGCACUCUAGCGACUGGGGAGACAACCUGGAGAAAGCGCGGGGGAGGCGUGGAGUCAGCAGACGACAUCCCGCGGCUUCCGUGAAUGAACCGACACCUGAGACGACGACCGCCGCCAGCCUGCAAGACAACGACCUCGUCUCCGACAGUCUUGUGUGGUGCUGGAAAUAAGCGGUUUGCCAUCUUCUGGACAUGGAAUUCAGCAGGCGGUGCCAAAUGACAACUAACCAGCUUGAUUUAUUCUGAUAGGUUACUCCGGCAGAACGAUUCUGCAGGUCAAUGGCCCACACGGAAGCCGUCUGGAGAAAGGAGGAAGGAGAAAGAUAUCGUCUGAAGCAUCGUCAUCAUCCACUCUGUCAGCAGAAGUGAAACAUCUUCACCGCCUGCCAUGCCGAGGGAGGUUUAAAACACUAGUGAAGGAAAUUAAUGACCUUUUCUCGUGCUGAUUCCAGACUUGACACCCAUCACCGCCGCACUCUUUCUCAAUGUGUUUUGUCACAGAACACUUUCUUUUUUUUUUUUUACUGAAUUAAAAAAAGUUUCCAUUUUAACUAAAUUUGGGAAACGAUAUCGAUGAUUUCUGUUUCGUGUUUAAAAAAUUGUUUCUCGUUUACAUAUUUUU